rnacentral:rRNA from 1 species
UGGGGAAUAUUGGGCAAUGGGGGAAACCCUGACCCAGCGACGCCGCGUGAGGGAAGAAGGUUUUCGGAUUGUAAACCUCUGUCUUUGGGGACGAAUAAAUGACGGUACCCAAGGAGGAAGCCACGGCUAACUACGUGCCAGCAGCCGCGGUAAUACGUAGGUGGCAAGCGUUGUCCGGAAUUACUGGGUGUAAAGGGAGCGUAGGCGGGGAUUCAAGUUGAAUGUUAAAACGAUCGGCUCAACCGGUCGUCGCGUUCAAAACUGGAUCUCUUGAGUGGAGUAGAGGUAGGCGGAAUUCCUAGUGUAGCGGUGAAAUGCGUAGAUAUUAGGAGGAACACCAGUGGCGAAGGCGGCCUACUGGGCUUUUACUGACGCUGAGGCUCGAAAGUGUGGGUAGCAAACA